rnacentral:rRNA from 1 species
UGCCAGCCGCCGCGGUAAUACGAAGGGUGCGAGCGUUGUUCGGAAUUACUGGGCGUAAAGGGCGUGUAGGCGGCGGUUUUAGUCAGGCGUGAAAGCCCGAGGCUCAACCUCGGAAUAGCGCUUGAUACUGAACUGCUUGAGACCGGAAGAGGGUAGUGGAAUUCCCAGUGUAGAGGUGAAAUUCGUAGAUAUUGGGAGGAACACCAGUGGCGAAGGCGGCAACCUGGACGCUGACUGACGCUGAGACGCGAAAGCGUGGGGAGCAAACAGGAUUAGAUA